GUGCUUGCUUUGGCACCACAUGUACAAAAAUUAGAAUGAUACAGAGAAUAGUGUAGCCUUGCACUAGGAUGACAUGUAAAUUCAUGAAAUGCAAUUUU
ensembl:snRNA U6 U6 spliceosomal RNA